GCUAUAGAGUGGCGUUUUGGUUGAGGUUUGUUUAUGGCUCCUCAGACUGCUGUGUAUUGCUAUCCUGCAGUCGUUACUAAAGUUGGUUUAACUAGAGAAGCAAGCGGUUGCCAACAUUCAUCUCCCAAGGGGGUGUCUAACUCGGUGUUAUGGUGUGUUUGACCCUAAAUUAACUUUACGCUGGAAUAUCCCUUUAAGCUCUCAUUUAAUAAACUGGUACCUCUGGUGUAAACUAGCAACUAGCUAGCUAACUCAAUGUAGCUUGGCAGUGUUUCAACACCUGACUCUGAAACAAAGUCAGACAGAGAGCAAAGACAUUAAACACUUGCAUUAAAGAAAAUCUCGUGUAGGUCACAAACCCGUGAGAUUUGAUCUGGUGUCUCUGGGAUGAGGGUCAAAACAACCUGAAUAUGUUUGACUCAGAUAUAGGGAGAGUUUUUUGUUCUAUUUCUUAUUAAGAGGCAUCAAAGCCAGUGAGGACACAGACCUUUGGGGGGGGACCAUGAGUUUCCUCCACCUGGCCUUUCUGCUGGGAAUUCCUUCAGUGGCCAAACUUGCCGAUGGCGAACACCUACAUCCGCCACCGCAAAGUCACAGGGAACACCGGGGACGCUUGAUGUUACGAAUGACUGAGGAGGAGAACAAGAGUAACAUGGAGUCAGCUUUGCCAAUACAUUCAUCAUACUCAGGAAACCCCCCCACACUCUAACACCCUCUGUGGACCUAGUUCACUGUUUACAACCUCCCACGGUAGUUGUGAAGUGCACCGAUGUGAAUGUGAUGCAGAACUGCAGCCACUAAAUGCUAUUGCUGGCGGUGCUAUUUAUGUCUAUAUUUACCUCUCCUCACUUCUUUAUCAGUCAAAUAAAACACAUAAGGGUUUCAUUACCUCACAAAUAUACAGAAUAUUAAUAUUGUUGUAUUUUAAAGCAGCUUCCCACCUUCUUUUCCUUAUAUAUCCAUGCAGAGAUCCAGCUAGUGCUAGCUAAUGAAGCUCUAUUUUAGUCAUACACACUUUUUAAUGUCCCCAUUACAGUGGUGUUAUUUCAAAGCCCUCUACUUGCCUAUAUGGGGCGUAAAAGAAAAGUCUAAGCCAGUUUUCUGUGCUAGGGGAGCCUCAAGAACAUGUCUCUGUUAGAUAAGUUAAUUACCUUGUAUCCCACAGCUGCAGCCCAUCCCCCGCCGCCCAGUACAGGAGGAAUAAAAACAACACUCCUACAUGAUCGAAAUGUAUUUCAUGCUAAUGCUAUUUAACUCGCCGCUAUUAUCUCCGCCAUGUAAAACGCACCUGGUCUGCUAAUCGCGCAGCCAUCAACUAUGUAUAUUUCACCUUUGCAACAUACAUCACAGGCCUAAUUUACUGCACAGCGGAGGAGAUUUCACGAGGCAGGGAUGGAGGUUUGUGAAGCGUUGCAGCAGGAGGGUGAGUGUGUGCGUUUGUGAGUCAGCACCGUGCGUUAUAGCGGUGAAUUAGAAGUAUUUUCACAUGAUAGGUGAGUGUCUUUUCCCCCCUUCAACCCGGCACACGUAUAAACACCGGAGUGGAACAAUUAACCAUGAUUGCACUUGUUAUUGUCAUUUUCAUAAUAACAUGUAUAUCCUUUGUGCCGCUUAAUGAAUCAGCUGGGUGCUGUGUCACGUUGCAUCUUAACUGCUGUUUGUUGUCACGGCGUGCUCUAUGAAAACAUUUACACGGCAACAAUCGCACAUGAAGACGGUGAAUGGAUGUUGAUUUGUGUGUAUACCUGAGUACUUUAUCCUCAGACCUCCCCCCUCUGCAUAGGUCAGGGUUAGAGAUGAGCCAACGAGGCAGUCUGGACCAUAGACUGUAUAUAGAAUGGAUGCGUCUGCCUCCUCGCUGGGUGAAGCCACCCCGAGAACAGCACCCUCUGGUGACGGGCUGCAGUAUAGGUCAUAAAUCCCGCCUCCUCCAGCAAUCCCUAUGGAGCUGUGGACAAACUUUAGCAAUUUAUUACACAAAACGUACAUUUUUCUCCCCUUUGCUUGCGAUGUUGACAUGUCGUUAUUGUAAGACUGGUUUGUGCUCAAGUCCUCUUGUUUCUGUACAGCUCUGUUUUUCUAAGUUAUUAGGGGGUGCAAGUUUUCUAUGAUUGAUACAGUCUAUGGGCGUAAGAAGAUAGCGUAGCUCACCUGGAGGAUACGCCAUUCGAGCUGAGCAUCAUCACAGUGACUCUCGGGGACUGCGCAAUGUUGGUUUCAGGAAAUGGAGAGAAAACGCGGAAUUACCAAGAGCUUUUCAGCUUCAAAAUUUGUAUUCUGGCAGAAGGUGGAACCAAGUUGUCCAUAGUAUAUACAGUCUAUGGUCUGGACACAACCCAGCUCAUGAGCCUGGACACAGUUUUUUUAAAUUCAGCAUCAAGAAUCCCUAUGAAAUUAUCAGAAACAUAAAUUCAGGAGCCAACUAUUGCUGUCAAGAGCACAGUUCCCAGCUGUUCUCCAAAAUAAAGAUUCCAACCUCCAUUUUGUAAAAGACUCAUUCACUGCGUUUAGGUCAGUGGUUCUAAAGUCACACACCUGAUUCAAAUGAUCAGCUCGUUAUCAAGCUCUGUAACGGCUUGAUAACGAGCUGAUCAUUUGAAUCAGGUGUGUUGGAGCAGGGAAACAUCCAAAACAUGCAGGACAGUGGGGGCCUCGAGGACUGGACUUGAGAACCACUGGUUUAGGAUACGUCAAAGAGCCAGUGGAUUUCUGUUGACAUUAAGAAAAAUGUGAAGUGCUGCCAGGCUUUUCUGUAAGUUUUGUGUUGUAAGCCUAUAACACCACAAACCAGAGUGUGAAAAGAAGGGGUUUAAUGUUACUAAAACUUACUGGGGCCAUGAGAGGUUGAACAAGGACACACCUCGGCUGCAUGUUGACACGAGCACCUUCGUGCAGAAAGGCCUCUAGAUUCUGUUAGAUAUAACCUUAGCGAUCCUUUUUUGGAAGGUUCCCUAAGAGAAAUUUAAAAAAUGAAUAAAAAUUCAAUUAAAUUAACAGAAAUAAUUAUUAAGUCUUUUCUCCAACACGAUCAAAUGCACUUUAAACAGAAAUUAAACUAUAAAAAGGGGUAGGUAGGAAAGCUGUAGACAUGGACGAGCCUUCGACAUCAAGAAGCUGAAAAGUUAAAUAUAACCCCAAACCCAUCCACAUGUAUUCAAAAUCAGUAAAAUAUGUCUGCAGCAUCAAAUUGAUGUUUUGUAAAGAAUCCCGAAUUCUGUUGAUUUGUUUAUGUAUGCAGCUUGAGCUUGAGCAGCACAUAAUCCUGCAUGUCAGCACCGCUUUGCUUGAAGCUGUCUCCCGUGUUGUCUGUGUUAUGCACUCCAGUUGCUCUGCAAAUACAGUCGAAGCCCCCUCUCCGUGCACACACCUUUUUUUUUUUUCCACACAAACAUCCUCGCGCGCUGAAAGUCAGCAUGAGGGCUCAGUUUAGCCCCCCGUGUGAGGCGUGUUUUUCGCCGGAUUAUCCCGACUCCACCUCGUCUGUGAACAGCUUAAAGUUGAGGGGGGGGGAGAAAAACUACUCCUCCUCUUGAUAUCUCGCUGGCUUAAUGACUAAUAAACCCUUUUGUUGGUGCUCAAAGUCAAAGGAGCAGCUAACACCAGCAAAACAAACACGUCUAAUAAACACAGCUUAAUGCAACCUUAAAAGUCACGAGUGCAAAGCUGGAAGAACAUAAAGACUCCUUGUUUAUUUUUUGCCUAAUUCUUAAAAUGCUUCUUUAUGAGGUCUUCUUCUCAUGUGGCAGCUGUUGAGCAGCCUCUGCCUCUUUCAAUGUAUCAUUACCCCCCUCUGGUGGCGCAUUUUUGAAGUGAACCCAGUGAAGACCACUCAGGAAGUAUAUUUAAAACAUCUUCACCACCUCAUUGUUAUGACCUAACACAUUCUGGCUUGGUGUUAAACAAGGAGAAACAGUAUAACACUCGCUGUAGAUUUUAUUAGUCGAGCAGAGUACUGUGACUCAUUUCCAAGUCAGCGGUUGGAGGAGUUGCUUCAGUAUGCGGUGUGCUCUUCUUCACAGGGUGACUCUCUUUCCCUUUUUUUCUUUCCCUGCCUCUCACUCUUUCAUUCACAGUUGAAUUCAUUAACUCCACCGCCGUGCUGCCAAUGCGGCGAGGAAUGUAAAUCAAGACGACAGGACAGAUAUUAACAGACGUCAACUAAUAACGCCGACUGAUGUUAUCAGGGAAAUGCAAUAUUCAAGAACUCUGAGGUCUCUUUCACUUUAGAGCCACCUUAGCUCUGUUUCGGCUGUUUCAUUCUCCGCCCUCCCUCCUUUUCCCUGUGGACGCGCGACACCUGGGCACACAUGGCCUCAUUCAGCCGAUUAUUCUUUGUUCAUGGCAUGCCUGUGCAGUAGCAAAUCUCGCACGAUUUAUUUGAAUCUAUUGCUCUUUUCACUCCCCCAUCUCUUUCUCAGUCUCAGCGUCAGACAGAAACUUUCUUUUUAUCUCUAUCUCCUUUCAGCACCUUAUCCACCUGCGCCAGUGCACCAACGCUGAUGGAUUUAAAGUUGAAUUGCCAACCAACUUGAUUUCACCUCUGCCUUGCAUAGAGCUUGACUAAACCUCCGUUUGCACCUGGCGUUAGCAUCUGUGUUUCGAUACCCUGAAGAAAAACAUUUAAGAGGUGGAGGAGAACAGACCGCGAUUCACCCAGAAGUUCUUUUAACAAUGAGUGCAAUUACUCCCAAGUGCUACACUCCAUAAUAAUGAUGCUAUUUGACCCUAAGUUAGGUAUCUAUGCAUUUUAUUGCAAACUAUCUUUAUGAUUUUCUGGCAAUCUGAUCGUCAAACAUAUUUUGCUGAAAGUAAAAUGAUGUCAAACAGCAGUCAUAGGGAGAUAGCGCCCUCUGUGGCUAAAAAAUCAUUGAUAUUUAGUUUCCGUCGUAUUAAUUUGCAUCAUCCCUUAGGUGACCUGAUUUUGUAUCACCGUACAAGACACCAUAACAUCCUAAUCCCAUGUAUUUUAACUCUGGGAGUAUAAAGUAGAGUAAUGCACAAUACUGUAGAAUAGAGGGUGGCAGAGAACAAUACAUUACAGUGCAGUAAGACAAAGGGUCAUUCUUAUUCACAAAAACUAACAAAAUCCUGAAAGCUAACAAAAUCACAAAAACACUUACAAACUCUUUAAAACUCAUAUAUAAACAGUAAUGAAAUCGCAAAAACUACCGAACUCCUGAAAACUAACAGAAUCACAAAAACUCAUUAAGUUAUGAAAACCAAUGAAAUCAGGAAAACUUACAAAAUCUUGAAAACUAACAAAAUCAUGAAAAAACUGACAAACUCUUGAAAACGAAUAAAUUAAUAAACAAACGAAAUCGCAAA